rnacentral:tRNA from 1 species
GGGGGUGUAGCUCAGUUGGUAGAGCACCUCCUUUUUAAGGAGGUGGUCCAGGGUUCGAGUCCCUGCGCCCCUACCA